AGACAGAAUUCUGACCCUGUUAGAGGGCCGAGGAGAAGGAGGGUGCAAACACGGCAUGUAACAUUCAGAGUUGGCCUCAUCCUCCUUCCUGAUUUGGAAACAUUCCAUCCCCAAAAAGUGGAAGCUUUAAAAAAAAUUCAGGUGCCAGUGUCUCUAUCGGCCGAGGAGUUCCUUGAUGUUCCGAAAACUGCUUUUCCAAGACUGGGCAGCACUGAUUUCGACUUGGCCAGGGUUGAUUGUCAUAAAAAAAUUAGAAGACUUAAUGUUUCUCCACUUUCACCAUCUGUGCUGAAAGCCAGCGGAGCGCUAAAUCGGUCAGCUCUGUAUCUACUCCCAAAGGAGCGUUUGGAAGGGCAGGCUGAAGAACGGCAAGAAGAGUGUCAUGAUGAAGGCAGCGGCUCUGGCCAAAGCCUGGACCAAGAUGAUGUAGGCAAAACCUGUUUCUAGAUUUGUGUACUUCAUACUAGUGGUGUAACGGAUCACAAAACUCACGGUUCGGAUCAUAUUGCGGUUUUCGAGUCACGGAUCAGAUCAUUUUUAGGAUCAGAAAAAUAAAUAAAUAAAAUACAAAUAAAAA